rnacentral:rRNA from 1 species
UACGUAGGGUGCAAGCAUUAAUCGGAUUUAUUGGGCGUAAAGGGCGCGUAGGCGGGAUGAUAAGUCAGAUGUGAAAGCCCGGGGCUCAACCCCGGAACUGCAUUUGAGACUGUCAUUCUAGAGGGUAGGCGGAGAAAAUGGAAUUCCACAAGUAGCGGUGAAAUGCGUAGAUAUGUGGAAGAACACCAGUGGCGAAGGCGGUUUUCUAGCUUAUACCUGACGCUGAGGCGCGAAAGCAAGGGGAGCAAACAGG